rnacentral:rRNA from 1 species
UACGAAGGGGGCGAGCGUUGUUCGGAUUUACUGGGCGUAAAGGGCGCGCAGGCGGUGCAUUUUGUCAGGCGUGAAAGCCCCGGGCUUAACCUGGGAACUGCGUUUGAUACGGAUGGGCUAGAGUUCGGGAGAGGAGAGUGGAAUUCCCAGUGUAGAGGUGAAAUUCGUAGAUAUUGGGAAGAACACCGGUGGCGAAGGCGGCUCUCUGGACCGAGACUGACGCUGAGGCGCGAAAGCGUGGGGAGCAAACAGG